rnacentral:rRNA from 1 species
GUCUGUAGCAAUACAGWUGCUGGCGACCGGCAAACGGGUGCGGAACACGUACGCAACCUUCCUUYAAGUGRGGRAUAGCCCRGGGAAACYYGGAUUAAUACCYCGUAAUAUUUGAGAGUGGCAUCACUYUWYAAUUAUAGCWCARGCGCUURWAGAUGGGCGUGCGMCUGAUUAGGUAGUUGGCGGGGUAACGGCCCACCAAGCCUGCGAUCAGUAACUGGUGUGAGAGCACGACCAGUCACACGGGCACUGAGACACGGGCCCGACUCCUACGGGAGGCAGCAGUAAGGAAUAUUGGUCAAUGGACGCAAGUCUGAACCAGCCAUGCCGCGUGGAGGAUGAAGGUCCUCUGGAUUGUAAACUUCUUUUAUYUGRGAAGAAACCCRKAUWUUCUAAUSYGGYUGACGGUACCAGAUGAAUAAGCACCGGCUAACUCCGUGCCAGCAGCCGCGGUAAUACGGAGGGUGCAAGCGUUAUCCGGAUUCACUGGGUUUAAAGGGUGCGUAGGUGGAUUGGUAAGUCCGUGGUGAA